rnacentral:rRNA from 1 species
AGUGAACGCUGGCGGUAGGCCUAACACAUGCAAGUCGAACGGCAGCACAGUAAGAGCUUGCUCUUACGGGUGGCGAGUGGCGCACGGGUGAGGAAUACAUCGGAAUCUACUUUUUCGUGGGGGAUAACGUAGGGAAACUUACGCUAAUACCGCAUACGACCUACGGGUGAAAGCAGGGGAUCUUCGGACCUUGCGCGAUUGAAUGAGCCGAUGUCGGAUUAGCUAGUUGGCGGGGUAAAGGCCCACCAAGGCGACGAUCCGUAGCUGGUCUGAGAGGAUGAUCAGCCACACUGGAACUGAGACACGGUCCAGACUCCUACGGGAGGCAGCAGUGGGGAAUAUUGGACAAUGGGCGCAGGCCUGAUCCAGCCAUACCGCGUGGGUGAAGAAGGCCUUCGGGUUGUAAAGCCCUUUUGUUGGGAAAGAAAAGCAGCAGGUUAAUACCCCGCUGUUCUGACGGUACCCAAAGAAUAAGCACCGGCUAACUUCGUG